CAGAACGAACGCUGGCGGCGCGUCUUAAGCAUGCAAGUCGAACGGCAAGAGGUAGCAAUACCUCCUAGAGUGGCGGACUGGUGAGUAACACGUGGGUGACAUACCCUUCAGAUGGGGAUAGCUAUUAGAAAUAGUAGAUAAUACCGAAUACGAGCACGAGGGGUUAGAGAUCUGUGAAGGAAAGGAGCUAAGGCUCCGCUGAAGGAAUGGCCUGCGGCCCAUUAGCUAGUUGGUGAGGUAAGAGCCCACCAAGGCGAUGAUGGGUAUCCGGCCUUAGAGGGUGAACGGACACAUUGGGACUGAGAUACGGCCCAGACUCCUACGGGAGGCAGCAGCUAAGAAUAUUCCGCAAUGGACGAAAGUCUGACGGAGCGACGCCGCGUGGAUGAAGAAGGCCGGAAGGUUGUAAAAUCCUUUUGAAACUGAAGAAUAAGCGUUGUAGGGAAUGACAGCGUGGUGACAGUAGGUUUUGAAUAAGCAACGGCUAAUUACGUGCCAGCAGCCGC
rnacentral:rRNA from 1 species